GACGAACGCUGGCGGCGUGCUUAACACAUGCAAGUCGAACGGAAAGGCCCUGCUUUUGUGGGGUGCUCGAGUGGCGAACGGGUGAGUAACACGUGAGUAACCUGCCCUUUACUUUGGGAUAACUUCAGGAAACUGGGGCUAAUACCGGAUAGGAGCUCCUGCUGCAUGGUGGGGGUUGGAAAGUUUCGGCGGUUGGGGAUGGACUCGCGGCUUAUCAGCUUGUUGGUGGGGUAGUGGCUUACCAAGGCUUUGACGGGUAGCCGGCCUGAGAGGGUGACCGGCAACAUUGGGACUGAGAUACGGCCCAGACUCCUACGGGAGGCAGAAGUGGGGAAUAUUGCACAAUGGGCGGAAGCCUGAUGCAGCAACGCCGCGUGCGGGAUGACGGCCUUCGGGUUGUAAACCGCUUUCGCCUGUGACGAAGCGUGAGUGACGGUAAUGGGUAAAGAAGCACCGGCUAACUACGUG
rnacentral:rRNA from 1 species